rnacentral:rRNA from 1 species
AUUGAACGCUGGCGGCAGGCCUAACACAUGCAAGUCGAACGAGUGGCGGACGGGUGAGUAAUGUCUGGGAAACUGCCCGAUGGAGGGGGAUAACUACUGGAAACGGUAGCUAAUACCGCAUACCAUCGGAUGUGCCCAGAUGGGAUUAGCUAGUGGGUGGGGUAACGGCUCACCUAGGCGACGAUCCCUAGCUGGUCUGAGAGGAUGACCAGCCACACUGGAACUGAGAGAGGGUCCCGUCUCCUACGUGAUGCAGCGGUUGGGAAUAUUGCACAAUGGACGCAAGCCUGAUACAGCCGUGCCGCGUGUAUGAAGAAGUCCUUCGGGUUGUAAAAUGCUUUCAGCGAGGAGGCGUUACUCACAGAAGAAGCACCGGCUAACUCCGUGCCAGCAGCCGCGGUAAUAC